rnacentral:tRNA from 1 species
GGAGAUGUAGCUCAGUGGUAGAUCGUAAGUGAUAUCCUGGGUUUAAUUCCCAGCACUGCCA